rnacentral:tRNA from 1 species
GGGGCCUUAGCUCAGCUGGGAGAACGCCUGCUUUGCACGCAGGAGGUCAGCGGUUCGAUCCCGCUAGGCUCCA